CCAAUGUGGCAUGCACAAUAUGAUGACGAUAAUAGAGGACAGUGACCUUUCAAACUGCAGCCACUGGCUGUACAGACCAGCCUGCGAUUGUAAACUGAGUCACAAAUUAUAUUUAAUUAUCUGCUAGUCUUGGGAAACAGACGCACUCUGCCCAGUCUUGACUUUGCGGCGGCCAUUAAGCACAAGGCUACGAUCUACAGAUUAACAAGAACGCGCUCUGCACACGCGCACCUGUUUCAGCAAUGGAACAUAAGAACCUGCACAGGAGCAGCCCCAGCUACCGCCUAAUCUUCUCCCAACUGCAGCUAUCCAGUACGUGCUGAGUUUUUGGAGACCCCCGUUCUGAGUUUUUGGAAUCCCCUUUCCUCAUUGCCAUGGUGUCAAUCAGUAAGAGGAGAAACUGGACAGGAAAAUCGGGGGGGGGGGGGGGCAGUUGCUUUGACCCCGCUUUCACAAACUCCCCCUCUGACCUGCGAGUCACAUUCCGUCCCUGCUAAGCUUCUUCCGCCCGUUGACUGACAGGCUGUUAAACAGCAGCGGUGUGCGGGUCACGGACAGUGAACCUGUGGCUCAGGAAUCAGAUGGUGCAGAUCAAGCCUGGGAGAAUUCCGCACUGAUGUAAGGAUGAAACCAUUAACUUUGAAACCUGUUGCGUGGAUGGUUGUGUGAAUAAGGGUUUGCAUAUAAACAAGGAACACAAAGAGAGUACCCAUGCAUGCCCAAAAUGCUCGUAGGAGUGGACUGUGGUACAAGGAGAACUGCUAAGCAGAUUCUCUCGAAACGUUUCUUCCCUUAAAAACAAUCCUGAGCAAACCUUCCACAUUACACGCUUCCCUUUGUUUGGAAAAGGCCUGUAAUAUCCUGCCCCACCACCAGGAGGCCUCCCCCUACUCCUCCAGGAGGAGAGAAACUGCAUAGUGUACAGUAUUUCCCCAUAAUCUACUGAUCGCAAUAAGAUGCUUUGUACGAUGGUGCGUGAUCUUAUGACUGUACCUAUAAUUUCUCUAGAUACCUUUUAUGGGGCUCCCUCUGUGAUCCAGACACUUAUGUAGGCGUACACUCACACACACACACACACACACACACACACACACAUACACACAAAUAUAUAUAUAUAUAUAUUACCUUCCUCUCCAUACAUACUUGGAAUCAUAACCUGUGUAUACCAUC